GGUGUUGAAUAUGAUUUUACAUU
rnacentral:siRNA from 1 species